rnacentral:tRNA from 1 species
CAAAGGAUAGUUUAUUUAAAAAUUCCGGUUUUGGGGAUCGGAGAGGAAGGUUUGAGUCCUUUUCUUUUGA